GACGAACGCUGGCGGCGCGCUUAACACAUGCAAGUCGAACGGAAAGGCCUGCUUUCCCUUGUGGAUUGCGGGUACUCGAGUGGCGAACGGGUGAGUAACACGUGAGUGAUCUGCCCCCAACUUGGGUAUAAGCCUGGGAAACUGGGUCUAAUUCCCGAUAGGACUGCAGGGUGGUGCCUGUGGUGGAAAACGAUUUUCUAGUGGUUGGGGAUGAGCUCGCGGCCUAUCAGCUUGUUGGUGGGGUAAUGGCCUACCAAGGCGGCGACGGGUAGCCGGCCUGAGAGGGUGGACGGCCACAUUGAGACUGAGAUACGGCCCAGACUCCUACGGGAGGCAGCAGUGGGGAAUAUUGGACAAUGGGCGGAAGCCUGAUGCAGCGACGCCGCGUGGGGGAUGACGGCCUUCGGGUUGUAAACUCCUUUCGACCGCGAGGAAGCCACCUGGUUGGAAGGGUGGUGACGGUAGUGGUAGAAGAAGCACCGGCUAACUACGUG
rnacentral:rRNA from 1 species